rnacentral:rRNA from 1 species
GACAGAGGGUGCAAACGUUGUUCGGAAUUACUGGGCGUAAAGCGUGCGCAGGCGGCUAUGUAAGACAGUUGUGAAAUCCCCGGGCUCAACCUGGGAACUGCAUCUGUGACUGUAUAGCUAGAGUACGGUAGAGGGGGAUGGAAUUCCGCGUGUAGCAGUGAAAUGCGUAGAUAUGCGGAGGAACACCGAUGGCGAAGGCAAUCCCCUGGACCUGUACUGACGCUCAUGCACGAAAGCGUGGGGAGCAAACAGG